UUUUUGAUAUAGAAAAAGAUACUAUAUCAUCCUUAGACUUGCAGUUAUUGUCUUAUCUUAAAUGAUUUAUUUGGGGUGCCAGUAGCCUAGUGGUUUGUGUGAGACGCCCCAUGUACAGAGACAAGGGUCCUCCAAGCAGACGGCCCAAGUUCGAAUCCGACCUGGGGCUCCUUUAAUGCGUGUCGUUCCCCAAUCUCUCCCCAGUUUCUGACUCUAUCCACUGUCCUAUCUCUAAAAAAAAAGCUUGUUGUUGAAAUUGCUUAACAACCUUAUCAUCCACAUUCUUUCAAUUUCUCCUUAGCUUUGGGAAACCCAACACCUACCACAGUUGACCACAGUGCUGGUCCAGAGAAGUUCCUCAUCCCUUUGAGCUUGUUGAUCCUUCUUGCGAUAGCAACUUUGAUCACCUGGUUCCUGUUAAAAAGACAUAAGAACACCACAGCAGAAUCUUCAGCAACAACGGUAAAACAUGAAGAUUCAAUAAAAAGGACAUCAUGGUCUUGUUCUUCACUUUACAGAACACCGAUACAAAGCAAAACAACUAUUUGUUAAAUUUUGAUUAAUAACAUAAUCUUUGAGUGUUUUAUUUGUAAAUUACAGUAAGCAUUUGAAAAUAGAAACUUUCUUGAGCCACAUGUGAAAUCAUAUAUAACAACACAAAUAUACCAAUGUGGUUAUCAGCCUACACUUCUUGUUUUUAAAUCCAUUCUUUUUUCGUCUGCUCACUUUCUGGUUUGACACAGACUGCAGAGGAAGUAACAUACAGCACUGUAGCCAUGAGGAAUAAACCCUCAAGCCAGGCUCAAGAGGAAAUAACAAACAGUUAUUUCAAGCAUGGGUCAGAUCCAGGGGGGGAUGUGAUAUACAGCUCUGUGGUAAUAUUGGACCAAACAAAAGGUUGAAGGAAAAGUUUUGCAGGCAAAGGGGCUUUUAGAGAAAUGCUGAUGGAGUGUCCCUUUAAGGAUUUUUUUUAUAGUUAUACACUUAUUCAGUUUUCCUAUUUUUCAAGAACAUUUUCAAGAAUCACACAUUUUUGAGCCCAAAAAACAAUGUACCCAACUUCAAAUUGAAGCCUGGAGUCGUUAGCUCACCCACAGAUUCACUCUAUACGGUAUAAUUUUAGAGCCAAGGAAAAUCUAUUACUAUUCAGAUAUUUGUAGACUGUAUCUUAACAGUUCAUAUUUCCGCUUAACAACUGAGCGAACUGCAUUUGCUGUGACUGAAAAUGUGGCUGACUUCCCUGUAAGUGGGAAACAUUAUGAUGGUAUUUUAGAGGUGUUGAAGGCUGAUGCUGUGGAAGCUUUAUUAUUUCUGUUGCUGCUAAAUAACACAUUUCAGUGAAUGCUCUUGGAGAUCUGGUAUUUUAUUCUAAAAGUAUGUAUCCACUGGACCUCUUCCCAAAGUCUAAAGUAAAUUUUAAUCUGCUGGAGUUCUGUCAUUAGAGGUAUUUAUAAGCACCAUCCAACAUGCUACAAACAUCUUACAGAUGGAAAAGGAAAGGUUUUUCAGGAAGUAGAAAAUCAGCACAUCGAUAGCAUGCUUCAUGCUCACCAACAUAGCUGUUCAUAUGCACUUUUCAUUCAUUCUCAUAUAGCUCAGUUAUCUAUAAUAUGUAACAAUUUAAGGAAAUUCUUACAGUGGACCUAUAAUUAAUACGCUGUAAGUGGUGUCAUGAUCACAUUUUGAGAAAAGUAAGGGUCAUAUAGGCAAGAAGGGUGCAGAAGAGCAGCAUUGUGAGGGGCUUUGUGAGGGGCUUUAUUGUUCAAAUGUUAAAGUAAUUUAAUAAAGCAUUAUGAAAUUAUUGGACAAAAUAUCCAUACAUUUAUAA